rnacentral:snRNA from 1 species
CCUGCUUAGGCAAGCUUAGGAAAAUGUGCAGGGACUGAGGUUAGCAUGGCCCCUGCGCAAGGACGACAUGCAAAUUCAUGAAGUGUUCCAUAUUUUU